UGGAUGGUUGAACUUGAAAAUGU
rnacentral:snRNA from 1 species